GUCAGUUUGGCCGAGUGGUCUAAGGCGCCAGACUUGAAACUAUAUAAAAGUUAUCUGGUGGGAUUUUCCCGCGUAGGUUCAAAUCCUGCAGCUGACG